GAUGAACGCUGGCGGCGUGCCUAAUACAUGCAAGUCGAGCGAACAGACGAGGAGCUUGCUCCUCUGACGUUAGCGGCGGACGGGUGAGUAACACGUGGAUAACCUACCUAUCAGACUGGUAUAACUUCGGGAAACCGGAGCUAAUACCGGAUAAUAUAUUGAACCGCAUGGUUCAAUAGUGAAAUACGGUUUUUCUGUCACUUCUAGAUGGAUCCGCGCCGCAUUAGCUAGUUGGUAAGGUAACGGCUUACCAAGGCAACGAUGCGUAGCCGACCUGAGAGGGUGAUCGGCCACACUAGAACUGAGACACGGUCCAGACUCCUACGGGAGGCAGCAGUAGGGAAUCUUACGCAAUGGGCGAAAGCAUGACGGAGCAACGCCGCGUGAGUGAUGAAGGUCUUCGGAUCGUAAAACUCUGUUAUUAGGGAAGAACAAAUGUGGAAGGAAAUAUGCACGUCUUGACGGUACCUAAUCAGAAAGCCACGGCUAACUACGUG
rnacentral:rRNA from 1 species